GAAAAUGUAGCAAAUGGACCUUGUAGAAGUAGCUGGUAGUGUACAUCCGCAGUGCUCGCUGUGCUGUGCAAUGCACUCAGAUGUCCCUUCCCUUCCUCCCUCUUUUCCUUGGCAGAAGACUAGGAAUUGCUCAACCACCGUGGAGCCUGGAACACGAGUGCUCUCCACCUGUGAAGUUGCACUGCAGCUAUCAUGAGAAAUGAAACAAUGCUCUUCAUCCUGGUUCCUGGAAAAAGACAGAAAUAUGGUAUUUCACCAGAAAAGUCUGUCCAAGUAGGAACUGCAAGGCGACUGCCCUGCCUGGGGAAAGAAAUUGGCAGCAGCUAGGCAUUUUUAGAUCCUGUCUGGAAGGGAGGCUGAAGUGUGUGCAGCUGCACUCAUCAUAAUAGUGCUGCCCUGGCAGCAGCUGCAAGCAAGGGAAGUCCUGUGUGCACCUUGUGUGCAGUGAAUGAAGAUGACAAGAGCAGGGUUGCUUUGAAGAGCAGAUGCCCUUUGAAGGCAGAACAAGCUACCACCUAAGCCACGCUUGCUUGUUUCGACCAACUGGCAGGCCAUGUCUUGUCUGUCACAGCUUCACUGCUGCAACACUGAAUCUACUUAGAGAGCAUUAAGUCUGGGAGUGCAAGCCAGAUCUUUGUCUUGCUUGGCCAUGCUGCCACCCAGAGGGGCCUGGGCAAUCUAGAGAAAUGGGCUGAAAAGAACCUCAUGGAGUUCAACAGUGAGAAGUGCUGAGUCCUGCCUCUGGGGAAAUAAACCCACAGGCUGGGGUCAUCCAGCUGGAAGCAGCUCUGUAGGAAAGGCCCUGAGGUCCUGGUGGGCACAGUAGGUUCAGCAUGUGUCACUAAGAAGACUAACAGUAUUCUUGGCUGGAUUAGGCAAAGUAUCACCAGUAGGCCAAGGGGAGUGAUCCUUCUCCUUUGCUCAGCACUAGCAAGGCCUCACCUGGAGUGCUGGGCUCAUUUCUGGCCCCCUGGAGAGAGCCCGGUGCAGAGACACUGAGAUGCUGCAAGGCCUGGAGCAGCUCUGCUGUGAGCAGAAGCUGAGAGAGUUGGGGCUGCUGAGCCUGGAGAAGACGCCCAGGGAGUUCUCAUCUGUGCCCAUGAAUACUUGAAGGGAGCCAGGCUCUGUUCAGUGGUGCCCAAUGGCAGAACCAAAGGCACUGGACACAAAUUGGAGCACAAGGAGGUUCCCUCUGACCGUCAGGCAGCACUUCUGUGCUGUGCUGGUUAUGAAGAGCUGCCACGGGGACCCAGAGGCUGUGGGGUCUCCUCCUUGGAGAUCUCCAAAAGUUACCUGGACAUGGUACCAGGCACACUGCUCUGGGUGCAUCCGGCACUCACUCAGUUGAGGGGACAGAGUAAGUACCAAGAUAGAUAUUCCUGUGACUUUCCAUUCUUAGUUUCUCAGCUGUUAGCCUUUAGUUUAAUGUUACAAAGGACAUAUAUCACACUAUAUACAAUACAUGUAUA
ensembl:lncRNA